GUCUUUGGGACAUCCCAUAAAAUUGGAACAAUAAAGAGAAGAUUAGAAAUGGCCCUUCGCAAAGAUGAUAUUAUUCAAAUACUUUUUAAAAAUUAGU
rnacentral:snRNA from 1 species